rnacentral:rRNA from 1 species
CUUAGUGGCGAACGGGUGAGUAACGCGUUGGUGAUCUGCCCCAAAGAGAGGGACAACAGUUCGAAAGGACUGCUAAUACCUCAUGUGGUCACGAGAGUUAGAGUUCUCGUGUCUAAAUGGAUUUAUUCGCUUUGGGAGGAGCCUGCGUCCCAUCAGCUAGUUGGUAAGGUAACGGCUUACCAAGGCAAAGACGGGUAGGGGACCUGAGAGGGUGGUCCCCCACAAUGGUACUGAAACACGGACCAU